CUACGGGACGCUGCAGUGAGGAAUUUUGCGCAAUGGGGGAAACCCUGACGCAGCAACGCCGCGUGAGUGAAGAAGGCUUUCGGGUCGUAAAGCUCUGUCAGAUAGGAAAAAAGUUCAUAUGUAAAUAGCUUAUGAAUCUGAUGGUACUAUCAGAGGAAGCACCGGCUAACUCCGUGCCAGCAGCCGCGGUAAUACGGAGGGUGCAAGCGUUGUUCGGAAUUACUGGGCGUAUAGGGCGUGUAGGCGGUAUGGUAAGUCAGAUGUGAAAGCCCUGGGCUUAACUCAGGAAGUGCAUUUGAUACUGCCAUCCUUGAGUAUGGGAGAGGAGAGUAGAAUUCCCAGUGUAGAGGUGAAAUUCGUAGAUAUUGGGAGGAAUACCCGUGGCGAAGGCGACUCUCUGGACCAAUACUGACGCUGAGACGCGAAAGCGUGGGGAGCAAACAGGAUUAGAUACCCUUGUAGUC
rnacentral:rRNA from 1 species